rnacentral:rRNA from 1 species
AAUUAACGCUGGCGGCAUGCCUAACACAUGCAAGUCGCACGAGAAAGCCCGGUUCGCCGGGCAAGUAAAGUGGCGCACGGGUGAGUAACGCGUGGAUAAUCUACCUCUUUCUGGGGGAUAACGCACCGAAAGGUGCGCUAAUACCGCAUAUUCCGGCGAGAUUUCGGUUUUGCCGGUAAAGGUGGCCUCUUCAUGAAAGCUACCGGGAAGGGAUGAGUCCGCGUCCCAUUAGCUAGUUGGUGGGGUAAAGGCCUACCAAGGCGACGAUGGGUAGCUGGUCUGAGAGGACGAUCAGCCACACUGGAACUGGAACACGGUCCAGACUCCUACGGGAGGCUG